UGCAUAUCCNANNAGCGGAGGAAAAGAAACUAACAAGGAUUCCCCUAGUAACGGCGAGUGAAGCGGGAAGAGCUCAAAUUUGUAAUCUGGCACCUUCGGUGUCCGAGUUGUAAUCUCGAGAAGUGUUUUCCGCGCCGGACCGCAUACAAGUCUGUUGGAAUACAGCGUCAUAGUGGUGAGAGCCCCGUAACUGAUGCGGAUGCCCGGUGCUUUGUGAUACACUUUCGAAGAGUCGAGUUGUUUGGGAAUGCAGCUCAAAUUGGGUGGUAAAUUCCAUCUAAAGCUAAAUAUUGGCGAGAGACCGAUAGCGAACAAGUACCGUGAGGGAAAGAUGAAAAGCACUUUGGAAAGAGAGUUAACAGUACGUGAAAUUGUUGGAAGGGAAACGCUUGAAGUCAGACUUGCUAUUCGGAAUUCAGCCGCAAGGUGUACUUUUCGAUUUGCAGGCCAGCAUCAGUUUUCGGGGGUGGAAAAGGGUUGGAGGAAGGUAGCAAUCUCGGUUGUGUUAUAGCCUCCAGCUGGAUUCAUCUUUGGGGACUGAGGAACGCAGCGCGCUUUUUGCAAGGCUCUCGAGCUUUUCGCGCUUAGGAUGCUGGUGGAAUGGCUUUAAACGACCCGUCUUGAAACACGGAC
rnacentral:rRNA from 1 species